rnacentral:rRNA from 1 species
GACGAACGCUGGCGGCGUGCUUAACACAUGCAAGUCGAACGGAAAGGCCCUGCUUUUGUGGGGUGCUCGAGUGGCGAACGGGUGAGUAACACGUGAGUAACCUGCCCUUGACUUUGGGAUAACUUCAGGAAACUGGGGCUAAUACCGGAUAGGAGCUCCUGCUGCAUGUUGGGGGUUGGAAAGUUUCGGCGGUUGGGGAUGGACUCGCGGCUUAUCAGCUUGUUGGUGGGGUAGUGGCUUACCAAGGCUUUGACGGGUAGCCGGCCUGAGAGGGUGACCGGCCACAUUGGGACUGAGAUACGGACCAGACUCCUACGGGAGGCAGCAGUGGGGAAUAUUGCACAAUGGGCGGAAGCCUGAUGCAGCAACGCCGCGUGCGGGAUGACGGCCUUCGGGUUGUAAACCGCUUUCGCAUGUGACGAAGCGUGAGUGACGGUAAUGGGUAAAGAAGCACCGGCUAACUACGUG